AGUGAACGCUGGCGGUAGGCUUAACACAUGCAAGUCGAACGGCAGCACAGUAAGAGCUUGCUCUUACGGGUGGCGAGUGGCGGACGGGGGAGGAAUAGUUCGGUAUCUAUUUUUUCGUGGGGGCUAACGUAGGGAAACUUACGCUAAUACUGCAUACGAUCUACGGGUGAAAGCAGGGGAUCUUGGUUCCUUGCGCGAUUGAAUGAGCCGAUGUCGGAUUAGCUAGUUGGCGGGGUAAUGGCCCACCAAGGCGACGAUCCGUAGCUGGUCUGAGAGGAGGAUCAGCCACACUGGAACUGAGACACGGUCCAGACUCCUACGGGGGGCAGCAGUGGGGAAUAUUGGACAAUGGGCGCAAGCCUAGUCCAGCCAUACCGCGUGGGUGAAGAAGGCCUUCGGGUUGUAAAGCCCUUUUGUUGGGAAAGAAAAGCAGCAGGUUAAUACCCCGCUGUUCUGACGGUACCCAAAGAAUAAGCACCGGCUAACUUCGUG
rnacentral:rRNA from 1 species